GAGGAUGGGAAUCACACCUAAAGAUAACUCUGAUGGAAGUCCUAAUGAUAUAAACUUGAGGAAGACCCUAAACCUGCCAAUAAUAUUUGGAAAGAGACAGAAUCCUUUUCGACUAGCCUACUUCUACUAUAAACUUCAUUAAAUGGAUUCAUAUUUUAUUGAAGCAGGGUUUUGGUACAAUUUUCUUAGUAGGGACUUUUUCCCAACCCAAUAUUUCAUCCAAGAGUCGAAAAGCUGAUCAGAGUUGGCAUUAUUCCCCAGAGGGUUUGCAGGGAGAGAAGUUUCACGUGUCAACAAAGGACAGACUCCCCUACAGUCAACUGUGCAGCUCCACCUCAAGGCCUGUAUGCAUGCACUUGGCUAGAACUGCUGCAAAGGGGCUUCUUCAGCAAUAAAUCAAGAGUGAAAGAACACGAAAUAAACCAUGUAAUUACACUUUUAAGUGACACCAGCACAGGAAUGCAAGAGAGCAAGGCAUGAGUACUCAUGGAUUUGCAUUGAUUCACUGACACUCUUUCACCUUGUUUAGUGCCCUUUUUGAAAAACCAACAGCGUAUAUGGCUCAUGAUAUCAGGCUGGGAUUAGAAGAGCAAACUGCC